AUACUUACCUGGACGGGGUCAAUGGUUGAUCAACAAGGUCCAUGGCCUAGGCUAGUGACUUUCAUUGCACUUGGGAGGGGCGCUUGCCUAAGGUCUCCCUAUAGUGGGAGAGCCUACGUCAUAAUUUGUGGUAGCGGUGGCCUGCGUUCGCGCGGCCCCUGU